rnacentral:rRNA from 1 species
GCUUAAAGAGGGGUUAAUGUCCCAUCAGCUAGUUGGUGGGGUAAUGGCCUACCAAGGCAAAGACGGGUAGCCGGCUUGAGAGGGUGGUCGGCCACACUGGGACUGAGACACUGCCCAGACUCCUACGGGAGGCUGCAGUCGAGAAUCUUUCGCAAUGCCCGAAAGGGUGACGAAGCGACGCCGCGUGUGGGAAGAAGGCCUUCGGGUUGUAAACCACUGUCGGGAGUUAGGAAAUGCAGGGGCGUUAAUAGCGCGCUUGCUUGACUAAGGCUCCAGAGGAAGCCACGGCUAACUCUGUGCCAGCAGCCGCGGUAAUACAGAGGCGGCAAGCGUUGUUCGGAAUUAUUGGGCGUAAAGAGCACGUAGGCGGCCUUGCAAGUCAGUUGUGAAAGCCUUCCGCUUAACGGAAGAACGGCAUCUGAUACUACAGGGCUUGAGUACGGGAGGG